GGAAGCCUUGGGGCCACUGAAGCUUCCUCUGGGCCUCACCCCAGCCUCUGCUGCAGCAGACUGGAGGGCGAGGCAGAGGGGAUUACGUCUCCCUGGAGACGGUCAGAGUCAGAUGCAGGCUGACCCAGCGCAAAGGCAGCUCUCCCAAGGCAGCUCCGUGGGGUCACUGCAGCUGAUGAGUCAGCAGUUGGUCGGGGGGUUGCCACCCGGCCUGCAAGUGCACCUCCUGCAAGUGCAGGAGGUGAGCCGGGAGGACGGAGGUAAGCCCGUCAUGGGUGAAAAAUAGGAAUCUAAAUGAAUUCUUCUACAUAUAGACAUCCAGUUUUCCCAGCACCACUUAUUAAAAAGGAUAUCUUCUCCUGCUGGACCUUUGUCAAGUAUCAGAUGGCUGUGUAAAUUGUGGUUUGUCUUCUAUUCUAUUCCAUUGGUCUUCCUGUCUAUUUUAAGGUCAAAACCAUGCUGGUUUUGCCAUUGUAUCUCUGUAGUUGAAUUUGAGAUGCCUCCUGUAUCACUUUUCUUAUUCAGAAUUGCUUUGGCCGUUCGAGGUCUCUGACUCUUUCUAGUUCUAAGAAGAAUAUCCUUGGCAUUUUGAUGGGGUUGCACUGAAUAUGUACACUGCUUUGGAAGUAUGGCAAAUCUUGACAAUAUUAAUUCCGCCUAUCCAAGAACAUGAGAGGUCCUUCCAUCUUCUGAGAUACUCUUGAAUUUCUUUCUUCAGUCUUCUGUAGUUUUCGUUGAAGAGAAAAAGAUGAGAUCUUGACCUGUCAUCAAGAUUAUCUAAGAGGUUGUAACAACUGAUAAAAAAAAAAGUCACUAGACUAAUUUUUGUGAUCAGCUGAAUAGAGCAGCAAACCUUCAAAUUUCCUCGAUAUAAAUCAUAUUAUCUCCUGUUGCUUAAAGAAAGAAAGAAAGAAAGAAAAGAAAAAAGAAACAGCCCAACAAAUACAUAGUCCUGUCCUUGGUCCUCAAAGUGUGUUCCCUUCCUCCAGAGCAUCAGUAUUACCUGGAAGACGGAUGGAAACGCACCAUCUGGGGACCUACUCAGACCUGCUAACUUAGUUCCAAGUGACUCCUAUGCACAUUAGAGUUGAAGAAGCACUGUUCAAUGCUACAACUUAAAAAGAGGAAAGAGAGUUAAAAAAAAAAAAAAAAAGCCC